AUUGAACGCUGGCGGCAUGCUUUACACAUGCAAGUCGAACGGUAACAGGCCGCAAGGUGCUGACGAGUGGCGAACGGGAGAGUAAUGCAUCGGAACGUGCCCAGUCGUGGGGGAUAACGCAGCGAAAGCUGCGCUAAUACCGCAUACGAUCUCUGGAUGAAAGCGGGGGACCGAAAGGCCUCGCGCGAUUGGAGCGGCCGAUGUCAGAUUAGGUAGUUGGUGGGGUAAAGGCCCACCAAGCCAACGAUCUGUAGCUGGUCUGAGAGGACGACCAGCCACACUGGGACUGAGACACGGCCCAGACUCCUACGGGAGGCAGCAGUGGGGAAUUUUGGACAAUGGGCGCAAGCCUGAUCCAGCAAUGCCGCGUGCAGGAAGAAGGCCUUCGGGUUGUAAACUGCUUUUGUACGGAACGAAACGGUCCGGGCUAAUACCCUGGGCUAAUGACGGUACCGUAAGAAUAAGCACCGGCUAACUACGUGCCAGCCGCCGCAGUAA
rnacentral:rRNA from 1 species